rnacentral:misc_RNA from 1 species
UUUCCGUAGGUGAACCUGCGGAAGGAUCAUUACUGAGUGAGGGCCCCUCGGGGUCCAACCUCCCACCCGUGUUUAACGAACCUUGUUGCUUCGGCGAGCCCGCCUCACGGCCGCCGGGGGGCAUCUGCCCCCGGGCCCGCGCCCGCCGAAGCCACCUGUGAACUCGUCUGAAGUAUGUAGUCUGAGACAAUUAUUAAAUUAAUUAAAACUUUCAACAACGGAUCUCUUGGUUCCGGCAUCGAUGAAGACGCAGC